UCCUACUGUCUUGUUGCCUGAAUUGGUCC
rnacentral:piRNA from 1 species